rnacentral:lncRNA from 1 species
AUGCUGCUUUAAGAACCAGGCUAUAAGAAGGCUCACUUUGCUGAAAAUAUCAGAGGUCUCAGCACCCCUUCAGACCCACUAGGAAAUUAUACAGCUCCGAAUGCCAAACAGGAUUAAUAACGACAACAACAAAACUCUUUAGGACACAUUAUAAUGAAAAGUAAGAGUAUCAAAAACAGCUUCUAGAGAGGAAAGGAAGACUGACUACAAAAGAAUAAGAAUCUGAUUCAUAUCAGACUUAACACUGAAAACAAGAAGAACAAAAGGGUAGUUAAUAUCUUCAAAAAUGUACAAGGAAGAAAGGAACUUUGAAUCUAAAUUUUCUAAUUUGCCAUGGCCUGAGGAGGGUGCCAUGAGUUGAGAAGUAUAGUCAUCUCAU